UCAGAUUGAACGCUGGCGGCAGGCCUAACACAUGCAAGUCGAGCGGAAACGAGUUAUCUGAACCUUCGGGGAACGAUAACGGCGUCGAGCGGCGGACGGGUGAGUAAUGCCUAGGAAAUUGCCCUGAUGUGGGGGAUAACCAUUGGAAACGAUGGCUAAUACCGCAUAAUGCCUACGGGCCAAAGAGGGGGACCUUCGGGCCUCUCGCGUCAGGAUAUGCCUAGGUGGGAUUAGCUAGUUGGUGAGGUAAGGGCUCACCAAGGCGACGAUCCCUAGCUGGUCUGAGAGGAUGAUCAGCCACACUGGAACUGAGACACGGUCCAGACUCCUACGGGAGGCAGCAGUGGGGAAUAUUGCACAAUGGGCGCAAGCCUGAUGCAGCCAUGCCGCGUGUGUGAAGAAGGCCUUCGGGUUGUAAAGCACUUUCAGUCGUGAGGAAGGUAGUGUAGUUAAUAGCUGC
rnacentral:rRNA from 1 species